rnacentral:rRNA from 1 species
CCUACGGGGCGCAGCAGUGGGGGAUAUUGCACAAUGGGGGAAACCCUGAUGCAGCGACGCCGCGUGAGUGAGGAAGUAUUUCGGUAUGUAAAGCUCUAUCAGCAGGGAAGAAAAUGACAGUACCUGACCAAGAAGCCCCGGCUAACUACGUGCCAGCAGCCGCGGUAAUACAUAGGGGGCAAGCGUUAUCCGGAAUUAUUGGGUGUAAAGGGUGCGUAGACGGAAGAACAAGUUGGUUGUGAAAUCCCUCGGCUCAACUGAGGAACUGCAACCAAAACUAUUCUCCUUGAGUGUCGGAGAGGAAA